rnacentral:rRNA from 1 species
GAUUAUAACCAACCGCUUCAUCUAACGGAAGGAUCAUAGACGAGGCCACGCGACAAGAGCGACCCGCGGACCGGUUGGACGAACCUCAGGGCGGGGGAGGGCGAGGGCGCGCCCGAGGCCUCCCACGUCAACCAAACCCCGGCGCCCCAGGCGCCAAGGAAACGAAAAUCUGAGCGGGGCGCGGCCCGGGAACGGCGCCGCGCCGCACGCCAUUUGCAUCCGAAACGACUCUCGGCAACGGAUAUCUCGGCUCUCGCAUCGAUGAAGAACGUAGCGAAAUGCGAUACUUGGUGUGAAUUGCAGAAUCCCGUGAACCAUCGAGUCUUUGAACGCAAGUUGCGCCCGAAGCCGUCAGGCCGAGGGCACGCCUGCCUGGGCGUCACGCAGCGUCGCCAGCUCCCGAUCCCACGGGCGCGGCGGAUGAUGGCCUCCCGGGAGCCCCGCCUCCCGGCUGGCCGAAAAAGGGGCCCAACGUGACGACCGCCACGAUCCACGGUGGUUGAGCGAGCACUCGCUCGAGGCCAAGACGUGCGCGCGCCGUCCCGCGUCGGGGGCCCGCCGGCAGGCACCACGCUGCCCGCCCGUACGCGACCCCAGGUCAGGCGGGGCUACCCGCUGAGUUUAAGCAU